CUGGAUUUCCCCUUUUUGAACAAUUUGUCAUUCAACUAACCUGCUCUGGUAAAAUGUGCCAUACAGUGGAAGCUUGGGAAUUUCCUUGUGUGUCAUGUUUCACAUUGUUUGUGUUUAGCCGACAGGUAUAAGUAGGUAGUAGCAGUGCAGGGCAUCAACACUAAACAGUGUGGUUGGGAGACUGAUACAGUGGAUCUGUGAACAUAUAAAGGUGCAUGUUUCCGAGAUCAUCUAGACAGUAGACACCUGUUGCCUGUUGAAGCAAUCAGAAUGGCUUUCAAAUAUACCAGAAAUUCCACAGGAAAUCAAGGCACAUUUUUUCAGGAUGAUGAAGUCUGCAAGCACGGUGACUUUAUCAAAUCCCCACCGCCUCAGCUUUUCAC
rnacentral:lncRNA from 1 species